GGCGGCGGGUGGGGAGAGAGAGCGGGCGGCUCGCUGGGUCUGCGUGGCCUCGGGGCCGGAACCCGGGUUCCCGCCCGCCCCAGCGCCCGCCGCCGGCCGAGCCCCGCUCUCCGCAUCUCCAUCGUGGGUCACGAUGGUCGGGUGUGCGCCCGGGUCCGCGGGACAGGCGGGCGCAGAGCUCCUUUGUGUUGGCGCGGGUGGGUGCGGCGAGGUUCCGGCGCCUUCGCGGAGCAUCGUGGGUCUGGGGCUGUGGGCGCCGCGGAUUGCUAUUCUCUCCGCACUUUCCCGGCUCUGAAGCCUCGAGAACACGGCGAGGCAGCAGUAGUUUAAUGGUUCUAUGGCUGGCCGCGGAACACGAGGUUGCCUGGUGUGUGACGGCAGCAGGUAGGAGUGACCCGCUGGUGCAGUGAUGAGCAAGAAAGUGCAGGAAGGACAGCGGCUGUUGGCCUGUGAACCUAGGCAAGAAUGACUAGCCGACACAGUCCAGACCAAGGUCCGUGGGCCCAGCUCGGUCCUGUGCGUCUGGUCAGUGGAAUAGACCUGCAGGUGUGGCUCUUGUCACCCUAGGACUGGCUUCAGGACAGAUCCCGCGGAUGCGCCUAGGGCACCGCCCUCAGUUCUCCAGGAGAGCGCGCCGGAGGGGAGCCAGGGGGUGUGCCCGACUCGGCACGGUGGCCACGCACGUCCAGUCUGCUGGCAAGGGCAGUGGGCAGCCGGAGGAAGUCAUGGCCUUGGGAGUGUCCUGUGAUGAAAAAGAACUUACUUGCAGGCUUAUCAAAUAACUUUGGUGUGGAACGUUGGUGUGCUGAAAAGCAGUUCUGUGUGCUUUUCCCCCCUAGUGUGAAUCAGCAGUGCUGAGGCAGCAGGCGUGAUCCAGAAGUGUGAGCAGAGACCGUCUGGAAUCCCCAGACUCCAGGGAAACUAAAGGUGACAGCCAGCCUAAUGAAGAGGACAGGAGUUGGGGGCCGGUGGCGGUGGGGCAGGAAGGCGCCCAACGGCAGCGUGGCCCAUCUGCGGUGGCAGCAGCCCAGCAGGCGCCCCUCGUCUCAGGGCCCUAAUCCUGGCUCCAGCCGGCUGGUCAGGGGAGCUGCAAGGUCUUCUGGGCGAGCAGAGCCCACAGUCCUGAGCUGUUCUUCUCUGUGUUUGGGUCAUCUCCCCCCAUCCAAGGGGAGAAAUCUAGAUGAGGUUUAAGAAUCAGUGCUUUAAGACUGGAUCUCGGAGUUGAAACCUCGGAAGACAUGUUUUCAGCACAGGGUGUUAAAGUGAACGGAAGGAUUCAACCCCUUUUCAAGGAGGGUGUCUCCAUGUGGGCAGAACUAGAGAAUAAAUGGGUCUUGAAUAAA